rnacentral:misc_RNA from 1 species
CCUCCACAACUAUUUUGCUCCCUUCAGCACCUAAAUGAAUUCCAUCCGUAAAGCAAGCAGUCGUCCAGUCGCUUCUUGUUUGAAGUGCAGAGAAAAGAUCAACAACUUUCACACCCAUUUCCUGGCAUAGCUUUAUGCAUGCUUCUGAAUACUUCUGGCAUAACUCAUUUGUUCGUACUAGCUCACUAAAAAUUCCACUUGUGCCUGAUC